GACGAACGCUGGCGGCGUGCUUAACACAUGCAAGUCGAACGGAAAGGCCCUGCUUUUGUGGGGUGCUCGAGUGGCGAACGGGUGAGUAACACGUGAGUAACCUGCCCUUGACUUUGGGAUAACUUCAGGAAACUGGGGCUAAUACCGGAUAGGAGCUCCUGCUGCAUGGUGGGGGUUGGAAAGUUUCGGCGGUUGGGGAUGGACUCGCGGCUUAUCAGCUUGUUGGUGGGGUAGUGGCUUACCAAGGCUUUGACGGGUAGCCGGCCUGGGAGGGUGACCGGCGACAAUGGGACUGAGAUACGGCCCAGACUCCUACGGGAGGCAGCAGUGGGGAGUAUUGCACAAUGGGCGGAAGCCUGAUGCAGCAGCGCCGCGUGCGGGAUGACGGCCUUCGGGUUGUAAACCGCUUUCGCCUGUGACGAAGCGUGAGUGACGGUAAUGGGUAAAGAAGCACCGGCUAACUACGUG
rnacentral:rRNA from 1 species